CAGUAGAACGCUGAAGAGAGGAGCUUGCUCUUCUUGGAUGAGUUGCCAACGGGUGAGUAACGCGUAGGUAACCUGCCUUGUAGCGGGGGAUAACUAUUGGAAACGAUAGCUAAUACCGCAUAACAAUGGAUGACACAUGUCAUUUAUUUGAAAGGGGCAAUUGCUCCACUACAAGAUGGACCUGCGUUGUAUUAGCUAGUAGGUGAGGUAACGGCUCACCUAGGCGACGAUACAUAGCCGACCUGAGAGGGUGAUCGGCCACACUGGGACUGAGACACGGCCCAGACUCCUACGGGAGGCAGCAGUAGGGAAUCUUCGGCAAUGGGGGCAACCCUGACCGAGCAACGCCGCGUGAGUGAAGAAGGUUUUCGGAUCGUAAAGCUCUGUUGUAAGUCAAGAACGAGUGUGAGAGUGGAAAGUUCACACUGUGACGGUAGCUUACCAGAAAGGGUCGGCUAACUACGUGCCAGCAGCCGCGGUAAUACGUAGGUCCCGAGCGUUGUCCGGAUUUAUUGGGCGUAAAGCGAGCGCAGGCGGUUUGAUAAGUCUGAAGUUAAAGGCUGUGGCUCAACCAUAGUUCGCUUUGGAAACUGUCAAACUUGAGUGCAGAAGGGGAGAGUGGAAUUCCAUGUGUAGCGGUGAAAUGCGUAGAUAUAUGGAGGAACACCGGUGGCGAAAGCGGCUCUCUGGUCUGUAACUGACGCUGAGGCUCGAAAGCGUGGGGAG
rnacentral:rRNA from 1 species